rnacentral:misc_RNA from 1 species
GAGGCUCGCCUUUAAUAACUAUGUGUGUGUGUGAGCGCUUGUGUGUUUAUAUGUUUGCUAUUUUCCUGUUUUAUAAUGUUUUUUCAUGUUUUUCUUAAAAGUAAUAGGUUCCAAGAAAUUUUAUCUAUUAUUGCUAGUACUUAUACCUAUUACCUAGCUGCUUCAGGUCCUAGUAAAACUAAUAAGUAGACUACAUUAAAAAGCUCAUUGAUGACUAACUACCAUAUAAAUCCAUGUAGGUGAACACUGAAAUGUUUUUUUUUUAACUGUUUUUCAUGAUUUACUUAAAUCUAUAUGCAUUUCUUUAACGAAUAAUGUGUUAUAAAGAGGGUAUUUUUCUUAGCUUGUAACCUGUUAAACCUGUUUAUAAGCUCUAAAAAUAAGUU